rnacentral:rRNA from 1 species
AUGUGUCCCCUGGGAGCGCUUGCCAAACACAGUAUCCACCGCCGCAACCAACCCAGCCAGAUCGAAAAGGGGAUCGAGAGGUCCAAAAAGAAAAGGGGAUCGAGCGACUUAGGGUUUCGAUGGAGAAGGCGGCGGCGCCGUCUGCAUCCCGAGUGGUUGAGGUUGUACCUUGACGAGGGGUAUGGGAUCAAGAAGCAGGUGAUGGUGAAGAUAGACCAUCGGAACAGCUACAUCAAGUGGCUGCUCAAGUGGGACAAGAAGCCUCGCGAUCCCCUGCCCAACUUCCCGGAGGAGCUCCGCGAGGCCAUGGACGCCAUCAAGGCCGAGCGCGACGAGAACGAGAGGGUCCUCGCCGACUUCAAGCGCGACGGCUACGCCUACGUCCAGGUCGACGUCUUCAACGACGACGACCCAAGGGCCAACCUCCCCGCCGACCAGUACGAGGUCAUCCCCCACGACAGCAACGACGACCAAGGCGAAGAAGCAGCGGAACCCAUCCUAGGCCGUCUCUAA